rnacentral:lncRNA from 1 species
AUCAACCACUAUGUCAUUUUUGAUUCGUUGUCGUCUUCAUUUUCUUGUUUCACGUUGUAGCUUUCUAGUAUUUUUGUACUUAAAACCAGCGAUAGAAGCUUUAUCUAUCAUGUGUGACGAAAGGCUAUGGAAUUCGAAAUGUUAGUCUUACACAAGAAUAAGACUUGGGACCUUGUUCCUUCACCACCUUAUAUACGUCCUAUUGGUAACAAAUAAUGUUUCGAAGUUCAAUCCUAAUGGGAUUGUUGAUCAGUUGAAAAUCCGACUGGUUAUUAAAAGUUACACACACAAACCUAUGGAAUUGAUUAUGAUGAAAUGUUCUCUCGAGUUGCUAAGAUCUCUUCUAUUCACAUUUUGAUUUUUAUUGAUAUUAACCUUGAUUGGCUACUACUCCAGUUGGCCAUUAAAAUGCAUUUUUUCGUGGUGAUUUACACGAAGAUGAUUAUAUGGAGCAAACACAUAGGUUUUUUGCUCACACCAAAACUAUGUUUGUAAGUUGAAAAGAGCUUUAUAUAGGUUAAAGCAAUCACCAAGGGCAUGGUUUGGAAAGUUUUUUGAGAUUGGUCUGAAAUUUGGUUUUUAGAGGUGUCGAACAGAUCAUUCAGUAUUUCUUCUACAAGAUGGAGUAGGUCGUGUUAUUCUUGUAGUUUAUGUAGAUGAUAUUGUAAUUACUGAUGAUGAUGCAGAUGAGAUUGCCUAGUUGAAAGGGUGUCUACAAAAAUAUUUUCAAGCCAAAGAUCUAGGCAAGCUUCAAUAUUUCUUGGGUAUUGAAGUUAGUAGGUUUCGAGUAGGUAUCAACUUAUAUCUGAGAAAAUAUGUAAUUGACCUGUUAAAUGAGAAAUGUCUUUUUGGAACUCGUCGAUACUCUCAUGGACUCUAAUGUGAAGCUUUAAAAAAAUGAAGGAGAAUCAUUUGGAGAACCAAGAAAAUAUCGUCGUUUGGUUGGAAAAUUGAAUUAUCUUACUAUCACAUAACUAUGUAUUUUUUAUGCAGUCAGUGUUGUUAGUUAGUUUUUGGAUGCUCAUCGGGUUUCUCAUUAGGAAGUCGUGAUACUUAUUAUUCGGUAUUUGAAAAAAAGGCUCCAGGCCUUAAAUUAUUAUAUAAGUCAAAUGGACAUAUAAAGUAGAAGGGUUUCCAGGAUGUAAAUUGGGCCGGAUCUUUGUCAAAUAGACGGUCCACUAUUGUUUUCUAUGCUUUUCUUGGUGGUAAUCAUGUCUGUUGGAAAAGUAGGAAACAAAUUGUAGUAGCAAGAUCAAGUGUAGAAACAUACUACUAGUAAGUUGACAUGGUUGCAGCAUUUUCUUCAAAAAAUAAUCUCUCACCCUCUAUUCUUAUACCGAUGUUCUGUGAUAAUCAGACUGCUCUAUAUAUUGCAUCCAAUCUAAUUUUUCAUGUAAGGACCAAGCAUAAUGAAGAUAACUGUCACUUCGUUCAGGACAAGAUAGUAAGUAGUG